GUAUAGACCACUAACUACUUUUGUUUAAAUGAAAGAUUACAAGAUUGGCAUGACCCUCGUGCAAGGCUGAUACACAGAUCUGUGAAGUGUUCCAUAUUUAA
rnacentral:snRNA from 1 species